AACGAACGCUGGCGGCAUGCCUAACACAUGCAAGUCGAACGAGACCUUCGGGUCUAGUUGCGCACGGGUGCGUAACGCGUGGGAACCUGCCCUUAGGUUCGGAAUAACUCCCCGAAAGGGGUGCUAAUACCGGAUAAUGUCUUCCGACCAAAGAUUUAUCGCCUCUGGAUGGGCCCGCGUUGGAUUAGCUAGUUGGUAGGGUAAAAGCCUACCAAGGCGACGAUCCAUAGCUGGUCUGAGAGGAUGAUCAGCCACACUGGGACUGAGACACGGCCCAGACUCCUACGGGAGGCAGCAGUGGGGAAUAUUGGACAAUGGGCGAAAGCCUGAUCCAGCAAUGCCGCGUGAGUGAUGAAGGCCUUAGGGUUGUAAAGCUCUUUUACCCGGGAUGAUAAUGACAGUACCGGGAGAAUAAGCUCCGGCUAACUCCGUG
rnacentral:rRNA from 1 species